rnacentral:misc_RNA from 1 species
CCCUAGCCCUGAUAGCAGCGGUUACCCCACAACAAGGAGUUGGAAAAGGUAAGGAUUUUAGCGUUGGAGUGCUCUGGCGUGAGGAGUAUGAGCGGAUAGCAGGAAAUAGC